rnacentral:rRNA from 1 species
UACAGAGACUGCAAGCGUUAUUCGGAUUCACUGGGCGUAAAGGGUGCGCAGGCGGUUGGGUGAGUCAGAUGUGAAAUCCCGAGGCUUAACCUCGGAACUGCGUCUGAAACUACUCGACUAGAGUACUGGAGAGGGAAACGGAAUUCACGGUGUAGCAGUGAAAUGCGUAGAUAUCGUGAGGAACACCAGAGGCGAAGGCGGUUUCCUGGACAGUUACUGACGCUCAGGCACGAAAGCAUGGGGAGCAAAAGGG